rnacentral:misc_RNA from 1 species
UCCCCGAAGGGCAGUCUCGCCAGACACAAGUAACUGGCGAUGAGGGUUGCGCUCGUUGCGGGACUUAACCCAACAUCUCACGACACGAGCUGACGACAGCCAUGCAGCACCUGUGGAGCACCCUCGAAGGCGACCGGCUUUCACCGGCUUGCAGCUCCAUGUCAAAUCUGGGUAAGGUUGUGCGCGUUGCGUCGAAUUAAACCACACGCUCCGCUGCUUGUGCGGGUCCCCGUCAAUUCCUUUGAGUUUUAAGCUUGCGCUCGUACUUCCCAGGCGGGAUGCUUCCGCGUUAGCUGAGCCCCGCAGCGGCGUUAAGACCGCCACAGGACGAGCAUCCAUCGUUUACGGCGUGGACUAC